CCAAUAGCGUAUAUUAAAGUUGUUGUGGUUAAAAAGCUCGUCGUUGAACCUUGGGCCUGGCUGGCCGGUCCGCCUCACCGCGUGUACUGGUCCGGCCGGGCCUUUCCCUCUGUGGAACCCCAUGCCCUUCACUGGGUGUGGCGGGGAAACAGGACUUUUACUGUGAAAAAAUUAGAGUGCUCCAGGCAGGCCUAUGCUCGAAUACAUUAGCAUGGAAUAAUAGAAUAGGACGUGUGGUUCUAUUUUGUUGGUUUCUAGGACCGCCGUAAUGAUUAAUAGGGACAGUCGGGGGCAUCAGUAUUCAAUUGUCAGAGGUGAAAUUCUUGGAUUUAUUGAAGACUAACUACUGCGAAAGCAUUUGCCAAGGAUGUUUUCAUUAAUCAGGAACGAAAGUUAGGGGAUCGAAGACGAUCAGAUACCGUCGUAGUCUUAACCAUAAACUAUGCCGACUAGGGAUCGGACGGUGUUAUUUUUUGACCCGUUCGGCACCUUACG
rnacentral:rRNA from 1 species